ACGGAAGGCAGCAGUGGGGGAUAUUGCACAAUGGGGGAAACCCUGAUGCAGCGACGCCGCGUGAGUGAAGAAGUAUUUCGGUAUGUAAAGCUCUAUCAGCAGGAAAGAUAAUGACGGUACCUGACUAAGAAGCACCGGCUAAAUACGUGGCAGCAGCCGCGGUAAUACGUAUGGUGCAAGCGUUAUCCGGAUUUACUGGGCGUAAAGGGAGCGCAGACGGCAUGGCAAGCCAGAUGUGAAAUGCGGGGGCUCAACUCCUGAACUGCAUUUGGAACUGUCAAGCUAGAGUAUCGGAGAGGUAAGUGGAAUUCCUAGUGUAGCGGUGAAAUGCGUAGAUAUUAGGAGGAACACCAGUGGCGAAGGCGGCUUACUGGACGAUAACUGACAUUGAGGCUCGAAAGCGUGGGGAGCAAACAGGAUUAGAUACCCUGGUA
rnacentral:rRNA from 1 species